rnacentral:rRNA from 1 species
AACGAACGCUGGCGGCAUGCCUAACACAUGCAAGUCGAACGAGACCUUCGGGUCUAGUUGCGCACGGGUGCGUAACGCGUGGUAACCUGCCCUUAGGUUCGGAAUAACUCCCCGAAAGGGGUGCUAAUACCGGAUAAUGUCUUCGGACCAAAGAUUUAUCGCCUUUGGAUGGGCCCGCGUUGGAUUAGCUAGUUGGUAGGGUAAAAGCCUACCAAGGCGACGUUCCAUAGCUGGUCUGAGAGGAUGAUCAGCCACACUGGGACUGAGACACGGCCCAGACUCCUACGGGAGGCAGCAGUGGGGAAUAUUGGACAAUGGGCGAAAGCCUGAUCCAGCAAUGCCGCGUGAGUGAUGAAGGCCUUAGGGUUGUAAAGCUCUUUUACCCGGGAUGAUAAUGACAGUACCGGGAGAAUAAGCUCCGGCUAACUCCGUG